rnacentral:rRNA from 1 species
AAUCUUCCACAAUGGACGACAGUCUGAUGGAGCAACGCCGCGUGAGUGAAGAAGGAUUNCGGUUCNUNAAACUCUGUUGCAAGGGNAGAACAAGUAGCGUAUUAACUGGCGCUACCUUGACGGUACCUUGUUAGAAAGCCACGGCAAACUACGUGCCAGCAGCCGCGGUAAUACGUAGGUGGCAAGCUUUGUCCGGAAUUAUUGGGCGUAAAGCGCGCGCAGGUGGUUUCUUAAGUAUGAUGUGAAAGACCACGGCUCAAACGUGGAGGGUCAUUGGAAACUGGGAGACUUGAGUGGAGAAGAGGAUAGUGGAAUUACAAGUGUAGCGGUGAAAUGCGUAGAGAUUUGGAGGAACACCAGUGGCGAAGGCGACUGUCUGGUCUGUAACUGACACUGGGGCGCGAAAGCGUGGGGAGCAAAC